GUCUCGCGCGCGCAGGAAGCGGAGGUGGAAGUUGGGGCGCAGGAAUGUGGCUGUCCCCGCCUGUAAAUCAUGGUUGGGGAGGAGUCGCGGAGGCACCAGGCUGGGGUCUGCAGCGCGCCAUCUGCUGCAGCACACAGGAGGCGCUGAGGCUAGUUGGGUUCAAGCGAUUCUCAUGCCUCAGCCACUUGAGUAGCUGGGACUACAGGAUUUCGCCAUGUUCCCCAGGCUGGUCUCAAACUCCUGAACUCAGGCAGCCCGCCUACCUUGGCCUCCCAAAGUGCUAGGAUUACAGGUAUGAACCACCGCGCCCGGCCAGUUUCUUAAUUCUUAGACUAAAUCUACGGGGGACACACUUUUGCCAACAUUAGCUGCAAAGGGUUUUUUCCUCCACACUUAAGUCACGGUCAGUAAGUAGUUUUUUUUUUUUUCCUGUGUUUUUGUUUCCUUGUUUGUUUUUAUUUGGGAAAAUGCCUCUUUUGAUAGUAAUGAAUUAUUUUUUACACGCAAGGUCAAAAACAGCAUGGAGUGAAUUUU
rnacentral:lncRNA from 1 species